rnacentral:rRNA from 1 species
UGUAGAUAAGAUAGUCCUUUUUUAACCGGCAUUAUCAGUCCCUUCUUAAUUCCGGGUCCGGCGCAGUUACCGGCCAAUUCAUUUCAAUCGCUUUUGACAGAAUGUUCUCAAUAAAGGCCGUCAUAUUCUUUUUGCCGACACCAACAAUAGUCAAUCUCGUACAAGUUUUCCCGAUGCCAAGAUAGAUAGUCUCCUUCUUUAAUAGUUCAUUGCCGUUGCAUAGUGCUUUUAGUCUCAAGUCCCAUUCAUCUUUUGUAUCACCGUUCCAAUCUGAUAGUCCUGUUAAGCACGGCCCCUUGUACCAUUUGCGUUGCUGGUC